rnacentral:rRNA from 1 species
CCUACGGGAGGCAGCAGUGGGGAAUAUUGCACAAUGGGGGAAACCCUGAUGCAGCAACGCCGCGUGGAUGAAGGAGCGUUUCGGCGCGUAAAGCCCUGUCAGCGGGGAAGAAGAAAGACGGUACCCGACCAAGAAGCCCCGGCUAACUACGUGCCAGCAGCCGCGGUAAUACGUAGGGGGCGAGCGUUAUCCGGAAUUACUGGGUGUAAAGGGAGCGUAGACGGCGAGGUAAGCCUGAAGUGGAAGCCCGCGGCCCAACCGCGGCACUGCUUUGGAAACUGUACAGCUAGUGUGCAGGAGGGGUG